GUAAACGGCGGCCGUAACUAUAACGGUCCUAAGGUAGCGAAAUUCCUUGUCGGGUAAGUUCCGACCUGCACGAAUGGCGUAACGACUUCCCCGCUGUCUCCAACAUCGACUCAGCGAAAUUGAAUUGCCUGUCAAGAUGCAGGCUUCCCGCGGUUAGACGGAAAGACCCCGUGCACCUUUACUACAGCUUCGCACUGGUAUCAGGAUUGUGACGUGCAGAAUAGGUGGUAGGCAUCGAAGCAGUAACGCAAGUUACCGUGGAGCCUCCUUUGAGAUACCACCCUUCGCACUCUUGAUACCUAACCGCGGUCCCUUACCGGGAUCCGGGACCCUGCGUGGCGGGUAGUUUGACUGGGGCGGUCGCCUCCUAAAGAGUAACGGAGGCGCGCGAAGGUUGGCUCAGAGCGGUCGGAAAUCGCUCGUUGAGUGCAAUGGCAGAAGCCAGCCUGACUGCAAGACUGACAAGUCGAGCAGAGACGAAAGUCGGCCAUAGUGAUCCGGUGGUCCCGAGUGGAAGGGCCAUCGCUCAACGGAUAAAAGGUACGCCGGGGAUAACAGGCUGAUACUGCCCAAGAGUCCAUAUCGACGGCAGUGUUUGGCACCUCGAUGUCGGCUCAUCUCAUCCUGGGGCUGGAGCAGGUCCCAAGGGUACGGCUGUUCGCCGUUUAAAGAGGUACGUGAGCUGGGUUUAGAACGUCGUGAGACAGUUCGGUCCCUAUCUGCCGUGGGUGUAGGAUACUUGAGAGGAGUUGCCCCUAGUACGAGAGGACCGGGGUGAACGUUCCACUGGUGGACCAGUUAUCAUGCCAAUGGUAGUGCUGGGUAGCUAUGAACGGAAAGGAUAACCGCUGAAGGCAUCUAAGCGGGAAGCCCCCCUCAAAACAAGGUAUCCCUGAGGGCCGAGGUAGACCACCUCGUCGAUAGGCCGGAGAUGUAAGUAUGGUAACAUACUCAGUUGACCGGUACUAAUUGCCCGAUAGGCUUGAUUUGUUCCAG
rnacentral:rRNA from 1 species